rnacentral:rRNA from 1 species
GCUUAACCGGAGAAGUGCAUCGGAAACUGGAUAACUUGAGUGCAGAAGAGGGUAGUGGAACUCCAUGUGUAGCGGUGGAAUGCGUAGAUAUAUGGAAGAACACCAGUGGCGAAGGCGGCUACCUGGUCUGCAACUGACGCUGAGACUCGAAAGCAUGGGUAGCGAACAGGAUUAGAUACCCUGGUAGUCCAUGCCGUAAACGAUGAGUGCUAGGUGUUGGAGGGUUUCCGCCCUUCAGUGCCGGAGCUAACGCACUAAGCACUCCGCCUGGGGAGUACGACCGCAAGGUUGAAACUCAAAGGAAUUGACGGGGGCCCGCACAAGCGGUGGAGCAUGUGGUUUAAUUCGAAGCUACGCGAAGAACCUUACCAGGUCUUGACAUCUUGCGCCAACCCUAGAGAUAGGGCGUUUCCUUCGGGAACGCAAUGACAGGUGGUGCAUGGUCGUCGUCAGCUCGUGUCGUGAGAUGUUGGGUUAAGUCCCGCAACGAGCGCAACCCUUGUUACUAGUUGCCAGCAUUAAGUUGGGCACUCUAGUGAGACUGCCGGUGACAAACCGGAGGAAGGUGGGGACGACGUCAGAUCAUCAUGCCCCUUAUGACCUGGGCUACACACGUGCUACAAUGGACGGUACAACG